AAUGACUCUCGGCAACGGAUAUCUCGGCUCUCGCAUCGAUGAAGAACGCAGCGAAAUGCGAUACUUGGUGUGAAUUGCAGGAUCCCGCGAACCAUCGAGUCUUUGAACGCAAGUUGCGCCCAAAGCCAUCCGGCCGAGGGCACGUCUGCCUGGGUGUCACUC
rnacentral:rRNA from 2 species